rnacentral:rRNA from 1 species
GACGUAGGGCGCGAGCGUUGUCCGGAUUUAUUGGGCGUAAAGAGCUCGUAGGCGGCUCGUUGCGUCAAUCGUGAAAACCCGGGGCUUAACCGCGUGGUCGGCAGUCGAUACGGGCAGGCUAGAGUUCGGUAGGGGAGACUGGAAUUCCUGGUGUAGCGGUGAAAUGCGUAGAUAUCUGGAGGAACACCGGUGGCGAAGGCGGCAUCCUGGACCGGUAUUGACGCUGAGGCGCGGAAAGCCCAGGGGAGCAAAGCGGGGAUUAAGAAACCCC